AGAAAACGCUCGUAACGCUCGCUCUCUAUCUCUCUCUCUUUCUAUAUCUUUUUCUAGGGUUUCGAGUUUGUCUAUUCUGUCAGUCAGUCCUGCACUGUUACCCAAAAUCCCAUCUUCUCCUUCCACAAAUGACGACUGUCUUCUCUGCAGUCUCUCCUUCUCGCACCACUUGCGGUUCUCUCCUUCUGGAAUUGCAGAAAAUUUGGGAUGAAAUUGGGGAGGCUGAUAGUGAAAGGGACAAAAUGCUCCAGCAACUUGAGCAAGAAUGUCUUGAUAUUUACCGCAGAAAGGUCGAAAUGACUAGAAAGUAUAAAGCUGAUUUGCAUCAGUCAUUGGAUUCUGCUGAAAUUGAAAUUUCUGGCCUUGCUUCUGCUCUUGGGGACAACGUUUUCUUUUCACGGGGUAAAGGCACUCUGAAGCAGCAAUUAUCUGCUGUAAAACCUGUUUUGGAAGACUUGAGGUUGAAGAAGCAAGGAAGAAUGAAAGACCUUUUGGAGACACAGCUGCAGAUUGCUGGAAUUUGCACAGAAAUAGCUGGCACUGGUCAUUCUAUGAAGCCUGCUGAUCCAAAAGUUGAUGAACAUGAUUUGACAUUGAAGAGAUUGGGGGAGCUCAAGGCACAACUUAAGGAACUUCAAAAUGAAAAGUGUUUACGGGUACAGAAGGUCAACAGCAACAUUAGUAUGAUUCAUGAUCUGUCAGUUGUGAUGUCAAUUGAUUUCUUUAAGACUGUUAAUGAUGUUCAUCCUAGCUUGAUUGAUUCUGCAAAUGUUCAGUCCAAGAGCAUCAGCAAUGACACACUUGCUAGAUUGACGGGUGUGAUACAUUCACUAAAACAGGACAAGCAACAAAGGCUACAAAAGCUUCAAGGUCUUGGACACAUGCUGAUAGAGCUAUGGAACCUCAUGGACACACCUAUUGAGGAACAAAGAAGAUGGGACCACAUUACUACCUUAAUUUCUUCCUCAGCGGAUGAGGUGUCGAGACAAGGGUGCCUUGCUCUUGAAGUUAUUGAGCAGACUGAGGUUGAAGUUGAAAAGCUGAAUGUUCUCAAAGCCGGAAAAUUGAAGGAAUUGGUUUUCAAGAGGCAAAAUGAGCUGGAAGAAAUCUACAGAGGAGUUCACAUGGAUGUAGAUAGUGAUGCAGCAAGGCAGAUUCUUAUAGGCCUCAUAGAAUCUGGUAAUGUUGAUCUUUCUGAUCUGCUAUCAAGCAUGGAUGACCAGAUUAGAAAAGCCAAAGAGCAAGCUCUUAGCCGGAAGGAAAUUUUGGACAAGGUAGAGAAAUGGAAAUGUGCAUCUGAAGAAGAAAAAUGGCUUGAUGAAUAUGAAAAGGAUGAAAAUCGAUAUAGUGCAGGAAGAGGAGCUCACAAAAAUCUGAAACGUGCAGAAAAAGCACGGACUCUGAUCAGCAAAAUACCAUCUAUUCUUGAAAAUUUGACUGCAAAAGUGAAAGCAUGGGAAUUGGAGAAAGGAAUUCCUUUCUUAUAUGACAAGGCUCCUCUCUUAAAAACUUUAGAGGAAUAUGCUGUGCUGAGGCAGGAGAGAGAAGAAGAGAAGCGUAGAUCUCGGGAGCAGAAACGCCAUCAAGAACAAUUUGCUGCCGAGCAAGAGGCGCUUUAUGGUUCCAGACCAACAGUAAAGAAGCCAUUGGGUCAAAGCAACAGUACUAACACCUUGGCUGGAACACCAACUGGACGCCGUUUGGCCACCCCAGGCCGUCCUGGAAUCUCUUCCGGCAAGGAACGUAGAGAAAGCAGGGUUCUCAACGUAACACCUAUAAACUACGUUGCUCUUCCCAAGGAUGGUUCAGCCUCUCGGGGAUAAGCUAGUUUAGUAGCAUACUCGCUUGUUUAGUUGACCUUAUGUAAAUGAUUCUCUAGGUUUUGGAUGCUUGUUGCAUUCUUCUGAUUUUGUUUGAAAUUUCUGAUGGCAGAUUACAUUGUCCAUAUGCAUUAGCCCAUUAUGAACUUUGGCUCAAGCUUUUGUGGGAAACAUACAAGUCCAAUGGGAGUGGAUUUUGCAUUGGGCUUGCAGUUUUGCAAGAGCUGGCCCAUUCAACUCUUUUUGUUGCCCAAUUGCCUGAAGAUUUUGUGUAGAAUAUUAACAUUAUUUAGAAAUUCAAUAAUGUAAUAAACUAUAUAAGCCUUUGUUUAAAGUUCAAUAGUUG
rnacentral:misc_RNA from 1 species